AUCGAAAGCUUGCUUUUGAUGGACGUCGACCGGCGCACGGGUGAGUAACGCGUAUCCAACCUGCCCACCACUUGGGGAUAACCUUGCGAAAGUAAGACUAAUACCCAAUGACGUCUCUAGAAGACAUCUGAAAGGGAUUAAAGAUUUAUCGGUGAUGGAUGGGGAUGCGUCUGAUUAGCUUGUUGGCGGGGUAACGGCCCACCAAGGCGACGAUCAGUAGGGGUUCUGAGAGGAAGGUCCCCCACAUUGGAACUGAGACACGGUCCAAACUCCUACGGGAGGCAGCAGUGAGGAAUAUUGGUCAAUGGGCGAGAGCCUGAACCAGCCAAGUAGCGUGCAGGACGACGGCCCUAUGGGUUGUAAACUGCUUUUAUAUGGGGAUAAAGUGAGCUACGUGUAGUUUAUUGCAGGUACCAUAUGAAUAAGGACCGGCUAAUUCCGUG
rnacentral:rRNA from 1 species